rfam:Stegodyphus mimosarum contig91714, whole genome shotgun sequence.
GCCUUCGGGGUGUAAUGGUCAGCACACUGAGCCGGUAUUUCAGAGGUCCGUGGUUCGAUCCCCGGCGAAGGCA